rnacentral:lncRNA from 1 species
UCACAAGCCACCCCAUGUCAAACCACCGCACAAGCCCCCGUAUGUUCCUAAACCACCUUAUUCCCCAAGCCCUAAACCGCCUUACGUGCCAAAACCACCUCAUACUCCAGUCCCUAGGCCACCAUAUUUCCCCAAACCACCUUACACACCAAGGCCUAAGCCACCAUAUGCGCCAAAACCACCUUAUACGCCAACCCCUAAGCCACCAUAUUUCCCCAAACCACCUUACACACCAAGGCCGAAGCCACCAUAUGUGCCAAAACCACCUUAUACGCCAGCCCCUAAGCCACCAUAUUUUCCCAAACCACCUUACACACCAAGGCCUAAGCCACCAUAUGCACCAAAACCACCUUAUACGCCAACACCUAAGCCACCAUAUUUCCCCAAACCACCUUACACACCAAGGCCUAAGCCACCGUACGUGCCAAAACCACCGUACACACCAAGGCCUAAGCCACCGUACGUGCCAAAACCACCAUACACACCAACCCCUAAGCCACCGUACGUGCCAAAACCACCUUACACCCCAACCCCUAAGCCACCGUACGUGCCAAAACCACCGUAUACCCCAACUCCUAAGCCACCGUACGUCCCAUCGCCACCUUAUACCCCUCGCCCUAAACCACCGUAUGUACCAUCACCACCUUAUACCCCUAGCCCUAAACCACCGUAUGUGCCAUCACCACCAUAUACCCCAAGCC